rnacentral:misc_RNA from 1 species
GAUGAAGAACGCAGCGAAAUGCGAUAAGUAAUGUGAAUUGCAGAAUUCAGUGAAUCAUCGAAUCUUUGAACGCACAUUGCGCCCGCCAGUAUUCUGGCGGGCAUGCCUGUUCGAGCGUCAUUUCAACCAUCAAGCCCCCGGGCUUGUGUUGGGGACCUGCGGCUGCUCGCAGGCCCUGAAAACCAGUGGCGGGCUCGCUGUCACACCGAGCGUAGUAGCAUCAUCUCGCUCAGGGCGUGCUGCGGGUUCCGGCCGUUAAAAAGCCUCUAAUACCCAAGGUUGACCUCGGAUCAGGUAGGAAGACCCGCUGAACUUAAGCAUAUCAAUAAGCGGAGGA